rnacentral:rRNA from 1 species
UACGUAGGGUGCAAGCGUUAACCGGAAUUACUGGGCGUAAAGCGUGCGCAGGCGGUUCGGAAAGUAAGAUGUGAAAUCCCAGGGCUUAACCUUGGAACUGCAUUUUUAACUGCCGAGCUAGAGUAUGUCAGAGGGGGGUAGAAUUCCACGUGUAGCAGUGAAAUGCGUAGAGAUGUGGAGGAAUACCGAUGGCGAAGGCAGCCCCCUGGGAUAAUACUGACGCUCAUGCACGAAAGCGUGGGGAGCAAACAGG